AAAUUGAAGAGUUUGAUCAUGGCUCAGAUUGAACGCUGGCGGCAGGCCUAACACAUGCAAGUCGAGCGGUAGCACAGAGAGCUUGCUCUCGGGUGACGAGCGGCGGACGGGUGAGUAAUGUCUGGGAAACUGCCUGAUGGAGGGGGAUAACUACUGGAAACGGUAGCUAAUACCGCAUAACGUCGCAAGACCAAAGUGGGGGACCUUCGGGCCUCAUGCCAUCAGAUGUGCCCAGAUGGGAUUAGCUAGUAGGUGGGGUAACGGCUCACCUAGGCGACGAUCCCUAGCUGGUCUGAGAGGAUGACCAGCCACACUGGAACUGAGACACGGUCCAGACUCCUACGGGAGGCAGCAGUGGGGAAUAUUGCACAAUGGGCGCAAGCCUGAUGCAGCCAUGCCGCGUGUGUGAAGAAGGCCUUCGGGUUGUAAAGCACUUUCAGCGGGGAGGAAGGCGUUAAGGUUAAUAACCUUGGCGAUUGACGUUACCCGCAGAAGAAGCACCGGCUAACUCCGUGCCAGCAGCCGCGGUAAUACGGAGGGUGCAAGCGUUAAUCGGAAUUACUGGGCGUAAAGCGCACGCAGGCGGUCUGUCAAGUCGGAUGUGAAAUCCCCGGGCUCAACCUGGGAACUGCAUUCGAAACUGGCAGGCUAGAGUCUUGUAGAGGGGGGUAGAAUUCCAGGUGUAGCGGUGAAAUGCGUAGAGAUCUGGAGGAAUACCGGUGGCGAAGGCGGCCCCCUGGACAAAGACUGACGCUCAGGUGCGAAAGCGUGGGGAGCAAACAGGAUUAGAUACCCUGGUAGUCCACGCCGUAAACGAUGUCGAUUUGGAGGUUGUGCCCUUGAGGCGUGGCUUCCGGAGCUAACGCGUUAAAUCGACCGCCUGGGGAGUACGGCCGCAAGGUUAAAACUCAAAUGAAUUGACGGGGGCCCGCACAAGCGGUGGAGCAUGUGGUUUAAUUCGAUGCAACGCGAAGAACCUUACCUGGUCUUGACAUCCACAGAACUUUCCAGAGAUGGAUUGGUGCCUUCGGGAACUGUGAGACAGGUGCUGCAUGGCUGUCGUCAGCUCGUGUUGUGAAAUGUUGGGUUAAGUCCCGCAACGAGCGCAACCCUUAUCCUUUGUUGCCAGCGGUCCGGCCGGGAACUCAAAGGAGACUGCCAGUGAUAAACUGGAGGAAGGUGGGGAUGACGUCAAGUCAUCAUGGCCCUUACGACCGGGCACACGUGCUACAAUGGCAUAUACAAAGAGAAGCGACCUCGCGAGAGCAAGCGGACCUCAUAAAGUAUGUCGUAGUCCGGAUUGGAGUCUGCAACUCGACUCCAUGAAGUCGGAAUCGCUAGUAAUCGUAGAUCAGAAUGCUACGGUGAAUACGUUCCCGGGCCUUGUACACACCGCCCGUCACACCAUGGGAGUGGGUUGCAAAAGAAGUAGGUAGCUUAACCUUCGGGAGGGCGCUUACCACUUUGUGAUUCAUGACUGGGGUGAAGUCGUAACAAGGUAACCGUAGGGGAACCUGCGGUUGGAUCACCUCCUUACCUUAAAGAA
rnacentral:rRNA from 1 species